AUUGAACGCUGGCGGCAGGCCUAACACAUGCAAGUCGAACGAGUGGCGGACGGGUGAGUAAUGUCUGGGAAACUGCCUGAUGGAGGGGGAUAACUACUGGAAACGGUAGCUAAUACCGCAUACCAUCAGAUGUGCCCAGAUGGGCUUAGCUAGUGGGUGGGGUAACGGCUUACCAAGGAGACGAUACCUAGCUGGUCUGAGAGGAUGACCAGCCACACGGGAACUGAGACACGGUCCAGAUUCCUACGGGAGGCAGCAGUGGGGAAUAUGGCCCAAUGGGCGCAAGCCUGAUGCAGCCAUGCCGCGGGUAUGAAGAAGGCCUUCGGGUUGUAAAGUACUUUCAGCGGUGAGGCGUUACCCGGAGAAGAAGCACCGGCUAACUCCGUGCCAGCAGCCGCGGUAAUUC
rnacentral:rRNA from 1 species